rnacentral:rRNA from 1 species
GGCCGCGGUACCCUAACCGUGCAAAGGUAGCGUAAUCACCUGUCUAUUAAUUGUAGACCCGUAUGAAUGGCAAAAUGAGGAUCUAACUGUCUCUUAUAGUAAGUCAAUUAAACUGAUCUCCCAGUCCAAAAGCUGGAAUACUAACAUAAGACCAGAAGACCCUGUGAAGCUUAAACUAAACUAUUAAAACAUAUAAUACCUCCUUUCGGUUGGGGCGACCUUGGAAACAAAAAGAACUUCCACAUACACGUGACAUUCACGAUAUCACAGGCAAACAAGCCAAAAAAGACCCAGCACAGCUGAUUAUUGAACCAAGUUACUCCAGGGAUAACAGCGCCAUCUUCUUCAAGAGCCCAUAUCAAAAAGAAGGUUUACGACCUCGAUGUUGGAUCAGGACAUCCUAAUGGUGCAGCCGCUAUUAAGGGUUCGUUUGUUCAACGAUUAACAGUCCCACGUGAUCUGAGU